rnacentral:RNase_P_RNA from 1 species
AGUGAGACGUGUAAUCGCUGCUAGUCUUGAACUAGGAGAGGAAAGUCGGAGCUCCAUAGGGUAGGGUGCUGGUUAACGGCCAGUCAAGGUGACUUGAAGGAUAGUGCAACAGAAAUAUACCGCCAGAAGCUGUAAAGCUGAGAUCACUUAGGUGUCUGGUAAGGAUGGAAAGGCGAAGGUAAGAGCUCACCAGCGUAAUGGAGACAUUAUGGCUAUGUAAACCCCACUUGGAGCAAGACCGAGAAAGAAACAAUAAGGAGUGACCCGCUCCGUUUCAUGGUGUGUCGCUUGAGCUUGUUGGCAACAAUAAGCCUAGAUAGAUGAUUACUUAAUACAGAACUCCGCUUAUGGCUUAUCUCGU